rnacentral:lncRNA from 1 species
CAGAAAUGUUCAAAUGAUUUUUAUUUUGCACUGGGGAUUGAAUCCACUUGAAUCUAGAGCCUUCUCACUGAGCAACACAUCAAACCCUUUUCAGAAACAGGGUCUCCCUAAGUCACUAAGUCGCUCAGGCAAGACUCACACUCUCAGUCCUUCUGCCUCAGCUUCCCAGAAUGCUGGGAUCACAGGCAGGUGACAUCACCUAUGACUUCAAAUGUCCCUUUAAAUUUGCCCCAGCCGAGUAGUCUUGUAGCCUUGAUGGGAUAAAAGUCCAGAUGGCUCAUUGCUGCUGCUUCCUGCCUGUCAUGCCACCCUGCCUUGGAGCCAGCUUAGUUUGGACUGAAACAUCUACAAACACAACAUUUUAUUGAGUUGGAUGACAAUGGGCAACGAUUAUUGCCGAAGUGCAAAGAACUUAUGAAGAGAGCUGGGCAAGUAUGUAACCUGAGUGCACAGCAGACUGUUCCUCAAGAAUAUCAGACAGCUUUUCAAGAUCUUCCAAAAACAUUGAAUGAAAUGGAUGCUUUAUUAACUAAAGAAAGAUCAAGAGCUUCCUGCUUCACAGGACUGAAUCCUACAGUGGUUCAGGAAUACACAAAAAGAGAAGAAGAAAUAGUACCAUUAACUGAGGAACUAAAGGGAAAGAAAGUUGAACUAGACCAAUAUAGGGAAAACAUUUCACAGGUAAAAGAACGAUGGCUAAAUCCCUUAAAAGAGCUAGUAGAAAAAAUUAAUGAAAAAUUCAGCAAUUGUUUUAGUUCCAUGCAGUGUGCUGGUGAAGUUGAUCUCCACACAGAAAAUGAGGAAGACUAUGAUACAUAUGGAAUUCGAAUUAGAGUCAAAUUUCGCAGUAGUACUCAACUGCGUGAAUUGACUCCUCCUCAUCAAAGUGGAGGUGAAAGAAAUGUUUCCACCAUGCUGUACUUGAUGGCACUUCACGAGCUUAAUAGAUGUCCAUGUAGAGUAGUUGAUGAAAUUAAUCAGGGAAUGGACCCAAUUAAUGAACGGAGAGUAUUUGAAAUGGUUGUAAACACUGCCUGCAAAGAAAACACUUCUCAAUACUUCUUUAUUACACCAAACCUCCUGCAAAAUCUUCCUUAUUCUGAAAAGAUGACAGUCUUGUUUAUCUACAGUGGCCCUCAUAUGCUGGAAUCAAACAGAUGGCAUUUAAAGGCUUCCCAAAGGCGGCGCCGCCAUAUUACAUUCACUCAGCCUGCUCAGUAAAAGUAAAUAGUAGAAACUUUUGGAGGGUUUGUGUUGUUUUUUUUGUUUUGGUUGUUGUUAAAUUCUGUUUAUAAGUAUGGAUUAACUGAAUAAAAGUUAAGAGACUUAUUAAAAUAGAAAAUUGGUUAUUUUUGAAACCUGCUCUUAAAUUUAAAAAAAUUGAUGAGAUAGAGAUCAUAAAGACCUCUUUUCUCUGGAACAUCAUCUGGUGGUAAUAGUUAAGUCUUCAGUCUUGGUUGAACUUGAGUUCUUAGUACUCCGUGAGUCAUGGUUCCUGGCAUUAAAAGUAUUUACUAUUGCAAGUCAAGUCAGAGGUACAGUGGAACUGGGGUUAUCAAUCACAAGUGACACAGUAGCCCUGAGCUUUAAUUGCAGAAUAACUUUAGCUACUUUUAGAGCCUAAAGCUGACUCUAGAACUUAAAACCUAGCUUUUCCCAGUGUUACAUUUAAUUUUUAAAAAUUGAUAUGGAAAUGUCUAAUGUAUAGUAGUAAUUUAUGACAAAUACAUUCAUUUUUUCUAUUAAAAAACAUUAUCUCCACUAGGAAAUGAACUUUUGUGGCCUAUGGAAAAAAAUUUAUGAAAUUUGAUGCCAUAAUUGCAUUUGUAUGAGAAAAAGAAGAAAAAGCAUUGGGCUUGAAAAAACAAUAGUAUGACUUAUUUGAAAUGUCACAAGGCAUCCUCUAGAUGAUGCUUAGUGCAGCCAAAAGAUUAACAGAAUAAAAGCAGGUGGCAAGGGUUUUCUAAAGAAUAGCCUUUUAAAAUAUGUGUGGGUUUUUCUUGUUUUGUUUUCUAAUUUAAAGUCCAUUGUAUUUUACAUCUUAAAUUUCUACAAAAAUUUUUAUAAUUAUUUUUAGGAAAAUUUUCUUAAGAUUUCAUAUGCUGGUUUCUA